CAGAACCUUUGGCCAGGCAGAAGCCCCAUCAAUGUUUCCUUUGUUUUUUUUUCCUUUUUUUGGUAUUGAAAUUAAAGAAAGAUAUUGCAAAGAGCAGAAGUUGAAACAAACAGAGAUGAAUAAUAUCAAAUAGUAGUAUUUUUUAUUGAUGUUGAAUCAUUACAUAAACCUCAAAGAUACAAUCUUGUUUCAAUAAAAUCAAAGAUACAAACUUUCUUUGAAUCAAACCAAGGGGCUUUUAACCUGCAAACAAAAAUAGAAACCAAAACUAGUACAAGAAUGAAUUCAAGCUCUUAUUAAUGAGAUCAGAUCAAACAAUCCAAACCGCCCAAAACCCUAAGUCGUCUCAGAGAACCCAGGUUGGGUUGCAGACUUGCAGAUGGACGUCGGAUCUGGGAAGCGGAAGCGGAAUCGAUCGAUUGAGAGCGAAAUGGAUUCGGCGUCGGAUCGGGGAAGCGGAGUCGAUCGAGAGACAGAGGAUCACCGUGAUCAACGAUUGAGAGAAUUUCAGAAACAGAAAAGCAGAGAGAGAGAGAGAGAGAUCGGAAAUAUUGGGUGGGAGAAAGAGAGAGACAGAGAGAGAGAGAGA